UACGUAGGGUGCAAGCGUUGUCCGGAAUCAUUGGGCGUAAAGCGCGCGUAGGUGGCUUCGUAAGUCCGUUGUGAAAGUCAAAGGCUCAACCUUUGAAUGCCGAUGGAUACUGCGAAGCUAGAGUACGGAAGAGGCGAGUGGAAUUCCUGGUGUAGCGGUGGAAUGCGCAGAUAUCAGGAGGAACACCAAUAGCGAAGGCAGCCCGCUGGGACGUUACUGACACUAAGGCGCGAAAGCGUGGGGAGCGAACAGG
rnacentral:rRNA from 1 species